rnacentral:rRNA from 1 species
UGCAGUCAAGGAGAAACAGGUAGCAAUAUCUGGAGUAAACUGGCGAACGGGUGAGUAACACGUAGACAACUUACCUUACAAACGGGAAUAACUCCGCGAAAGCGGUGCUAAUACCCGAUAUUGCUCGGAUGUGGCAUCACAACCGAGUGAAAGGUCGUGAGACGUUGUAAGAUGGGUCUGCGUCCCAUUAGAUAGUUGGCGGGGUAAUGGCCCACCAAGUCGACGAUGGGUAGCUGGUCUGAGAGGACGAUCAGCCACACUGGAACUGAGACACGGUCCAGACUUCUACGGAAGGCAGCAGUGAGGAAUAUUGCUCAAUGGGCGAAAGCCUGAAGCAGCGACGCCGCGUGAGGGAUGAAAUCCGUUAGGAUGUAAACCUCUUUUCUGAGGGACGAAAAGGUCACUUUAAGUGACCGAUGACGGUACCUCAGGAAUAAGGAUCGGCCAACUACGUGCCAGCAGCCGCGGUAAUACGUAGGAUCCGAGCGUUGUCCGGAAUUACUGGGUGUAAAGGGUCUGCAGGCGGGAAGAUAAGUCGGUGGUGAAAUCCCAUAGCUCAACUAUGGAACUGCCUCCGAUACUAUCUUUCUUGAGUUCGAGAGAGGAUAAUGGAAUUCAUGGUGUAGCGGUGAAAUGCGUAGAUAUCAUGAAGAACACCAGUUGCGA